GGUAUUAUGGCUCAGUGGUAGAGCACUCCCCUGGACCAGGUGAGGCACUGGGCUCAAUCCCCAGCACCA
rnacentral:tRNA from 1 species